AACGAACGCUGGCGGCAGGCCUAACACAUGCAAGUCGAGCGAAGCCUUCGGGCUUAGCGGCGGACGGGUGAGUAACGCGUGGGAACGUGCCCUUUGGUAAGGAAUAGCCCCGGGAAACUGGGAGUAAUACCGUAUGUGGUCGAGAGACGAAAGAUUUAUCGCCAAAGGAUCGGCCCGCGUUGGAUUAGGUAGUUGGUGGGGUAAGGGCCAACCAAGCCGACGAUCCGUAGCUGGUUUGAGAGGAUGAUCAGCCACACUGGGACUGAGACACGGCCCAGACUCCUACGGGAGGCAGCAGUGGGGAAUCUUAGACAAUGGGGGAAACCCUGACCUAGCCAUGCCGCGUGAUCGAUGAAGGCCUUAGGGUUGUAAAGGUCUUUCAGUGGGGAAGAUAAUGACUGUACCCACAGAAGAAGCCCCGGCUAACUCCGUGCCAGCAGCCGCCGUAAAAC
rnacentral:rRNA from 1 species